rnacentral:rRNA from 1 species
AGAGCGAACGCUGGCGGCAGGCCUAACACAUGCAAGUCGAGCGCCCGUAGCAAUACGGGAGCGGCAGACGGGAUAGUAACACGUGGGAACAUACCCUCCGGUUCGGAAUAACUCAGGGAAACUUGAGCUAAUACCGAAUACGGUCGAGAGGCGAAAGAUUUAUCGCCGGAGGAUUGGCCCGCGUUCGAUUAGCUAGUUGGUGAGGUAACGGCUCACCAAGGCGACGAUCGAUAGCUGGUCUGAGAGGAUGAUCAGCCACAUUGGGACUGAGACACGGCCCAAACUCCUACGGGAGGCAGCAGUGGGGAAUAUUGGACAAUGGGCGAAAGCCUGAUCCAGCCAUGCCGCGUGAGUGAUGACGGCCUUAGGGUUGUAAAGCUCUUUCGCUAGGGACGAUAAUGACGGUACCUAGACAAGAAGCCCCGGCUAACUUCGUGCCAGCAGCCGC